AUGGCGCUACGGACAGUUAGCCACCAUCUCCUCCUCUGCCUCAGUCUCUCACUGCUCAUCUCCAUAAAGAGUUCCUUUUGCAAUAAAAAUGACACCAAGUGCAUCUCCAGUUCUUGCCAAAACAAUUCUACGUGCAAGGAUUUCUCAAAAGACAAGAGUUGCCGUUGUUCAGACACAGCCGUUCACGGGGACAAAGACUGCGGGGAAGAGGAGGACCCCUGCCUCUCCAGCCCCUGUCCGGAACACGCCACGUGCGUCCGCGUCCCGGGGGAGAGGCGCUCUCUGUGCAGAUGUCCCCCCGGGCACAGCGGGGCCGGCUGUGACACCGCCGCUGGCCCCUGCGGGCCCAGCUCCUGCCUGCACGGGGGCGUCUGCCACCGGGACUCCGGGCCCCCUGUGUGCGUCUGCCCCGCUGGCUACACGGGAAGGUUCUGUGAGCUGGACCUCGACGAGUGCGCUUCCAGCCCCUGCCUGCACGGCGCCGUGUGCCGGGAUGGAGGCGACGGCUACUUCUGCUUCUGUGUCCCGGGCUAUCAAGGCCGGCGCUGCGACGUGGAAGUGGACGAGUGUGUGUCGGAGCCCUGCCAGAACGCGGCCACGUGCCUCAACGAGAUCGGACGCUACACUUGCCUCUGCCCGCGCGGGUUCUCCGGUAUAAACUGUGAACUGGAAGUUGAUGAGUGUUGGUCCCAGCCCUGCCUCAAUGGUGCCACUUGUCAGGACGCUGUGGGGGCCUACUUCUGUGACUGUGCCCCGGGAUUCCUGGGCAAUCGCUGUGAGCUCAACACGGACGAGUGUGCCAGUGGGCCGUGUCUCCAUGGCGGGCUGUGCGUGGACGGAGCCAACAGGUACACCUGUACCUGCGCAGGUAGCGGGUUCACGGGGACACGCUGUGAGACCCCACUGCCCCUCUGUUGGUCACAGCCCUGUCACAACAACGCCAUCUGCGAGGACAGUGCUGACCGCUACACCUGCCGCUGCCGGCCUGGGUACACGGGCGUGCAGUGUGAGACUGACCUCGAUGGAUGCGGGAGCGGCCCCUGCCAGGCCGGCGGGCGGUGCGUGGAGCUGUCCUCGGAGACGGGGCGUGAGCGCCUGGCCCAGCUGCUGUCUGCAUCCCGCCGCCCCGAAGCCUCCCCCCGUUACGUCUGCAUCUGUCCACCCGGACUCACAGGAGUCCACUGUGAAGAGGACGUGGACGAGUGCUCGUCCAGCCCUUGCCGCAACGGGGGCACAUGUGAGAACUCGCCUGAGGGUUACGCUUGCCGCUGCCCGUUUGAUCCCCAUUCUGGAGUCUUCUUUGGAGGCAGGGACUGCUCUGAUAUUCUCCUGGGCUGUGCCGAUCAUCCGUGUCUAAACAACGGGACAUGCGUCCCCCACGUCCAUGACGGCCGGCACGGAUUUGACUGCCUGUGCCCUGCUGGCUACACCGGGUCACGGUGUGGAACCGUCACCACGCUGUCCUUUGAGGGCAGCGGCUUCCUGUGGGUCUCAAGUGGCUCAGCUCCGGCCCAGGAGUCAGGCUGUACCAUAGCCCUCAGGUUCCAGACCGUCCAGCCGGCAGCCCUGCUGCUCUUCCAGGGUGACCAGGACGCAUUUGUGAUGCUGGAGGUGCUGGCUGGCUUCGUCCACUUGACCGUUCAAGUUGGCGAUCGACCAAAUGUGGUCCUGCUCAUCCCCCACGACACCAGCGAUGGAGGGUGGCACGCGGUGGAGGCGACGUUUGCAGAGGCUGUGACCCUCACCCUACGCGAUGACUCUUGCACGGGGACAUGCAUCGCUACGGCUCCUUCUCCGUUUGAAAGUGCUGGGUCAUCAGUGUGUGCUCUCCAGAACUCCUUUUUGGGGGGUUUGCCAGAGGGAAAAGCCCACAGUGGUGAUGCUCUGUUUAACGUCUAUAAGAUGCCAUCCGCACCUUCGCUCGUAGGCUGCCUCCAAGACGUGCACCUGGACUCGAAUGCCAUCACUGCAGAAAGCAUCUCAUCCGACCAGUCUCUGAACAUCAGGGCAGGCUGCACCCGAAAGGACUGGUGUGACAGCCAGCCUUGUCAAAACAGAGGACGCUGCCUCAACCUGUGGCUUGGUCACCAGUGUGAGUGCUACAGGCCCUACCGCGGCCAUGGCUGUCAUGGAGAGUAUGUGGCAGGCAGAUUUGGCCAAGAUGACUCUCCGGGAUAUGCUGUUUUUCAUCUCAACAAGGAUUACGAAGAGGACCUCUCACUCUCCAUGUUUGUUCGAGCACGCCGGCCAGCUGGCCUGCUCCUAGCUCUGGGAAACAGCACUUACCAGUACCUCCGUGUCUGGCUAGAGCACGGCAGGCUAGCGAUGCUGACUCCAGGUUCUCCCAAAUUACUAGUAACAUUUGUUCUCAGCGACGGAAACGUCCACUUGGUAUCUUUGAAAAUCAAGCCAAAUAAAAUUGAACUGUAUCAGUCGUCACAAAAUCUAGGAUUUCUUUCUGCUCCUACGUGGAAACUCCAAAGAGGAGAUGUCCUCUAUGUUGGUGGACUGCCUGACAGGCGAGAGACUGAGGUUAGCGGUGGAUUCUUCAAAGGCUGCAUCCAAGAUAUAAGGCUAAACAACGAGAACCUGGAAUUCUUCCCAAAUUCAACAAGCAGCGCAGCCCACAGUGCCGUUCUUGUCAAUGUGACCGAAGGCUGUCCCGGAGACAGCCUGUGUGAGCCCAACCCCUGUCACCACGGAGGCGUCUGCUACCCGCUGUGGGACGACUUCUCCUGCUCCUGCCCUGCGAACACAGCCGGAAAGGCCUGCCAGGAGCUGCGCUGGUGUGAACUCGGCCCGUGUCCUCCCGGCGCCCAGUGCCUGCAGUUGCCUCGAGGCUUCGAAUGUAUCGCAAAUGCUGUUUUUAAUGGACAAAGCCGUGAGUUAAUAUUCAGGAGCAACGGGAACAUCACCAGAGAGCUCACCAACGUCACAUUUGGUUUCAGAACGAGGGAUGCCCACGCGAUCAUACUGCACGCAGAGAAGGAGCCUGAAUUCCUUCGUAUUCACAUUCGGGAUUCCCGGCUGUUAUUUCAGCUGCGAAGCGGCAACAGCUUUUACACGCUGAGUCUGACGAGUCUGCAGCCGGUGAGCGACGGCGUGUGGUACCAGGUGACCAUCUCCAUGACAGACCCGGGGGCCCAGGCUUCCAGGUGGCAGAUGGAGGUGGACGGGCAAACGCCUCCUGUGACCAGCGCAGUCGCUGCCGGGAGCCUCAGCUUCCUGAAGGACGACACAGACAUCUAUGUGGGUGACCGAGCUAGCAACAGCACUCGGGCCCUGCGAGGGUGUCUAAGCACGAUCGCCAUCAGCGGCCUCUAUCUCUCUUACUUUGAAAACGUCGGUGGCUUGAUGAACAGACCUCAGGAGGAGCAGUUUCUCAAAGUCUCUGGGCCUCCAGUGGAGACUGGCUGCCUGCAGCUUGACGCCUGCCGCUCCGGGCCCUGCCUGCACGGAGGACGCUGCAAGGACACCUACAGCUCCCACCGCUGCACCUGUCCCGCGGGACGGUCGGGGCCACACUGCGAGCUUGACGUCGAUGAAUGCCUUUCAAGCCCCUGUAUCCAUGGCAACUGCUCCUCCCCUGCCGGGGCAGGCUAUCACUGCAGGUGUGAGCCUGGCUUCACCGGUGUGAACUGCGAGUCGGAGGUGGACCACUGCCAGCGUCACCAGUGUGCAAAUGGGGCCACCUGCGUGAGUGAUGCCAACGGCUACUCUUGCCGCUGUCCUGGAAACUUCACGGGAAGGUUCUGCAGGUACCUCCGAUUACCCUCCACCUUCUGUGGGAAUGAGAGGACCAACCUCACUUGCUACAACGGUGGCAACUGCACGGAGUUCCAGGGAGAAAUGAAGUGCGCCUGCUGGCCAGGUUUUACGGGGGAACGGUGUGACAAGGACAUCGACGAGUGCGCGUCCGACCCCUGCCUGCACGGCGGCCGCUGUCACGACCUGCUGAACGGGUUCCGGUGCACGUGCGCGCUGGCCUUCGCCGGGCCGCGCUGCGAGCUGGACUUGGCAGAUGACUUGCUGUCGGACGUGUUCGCCGCCAUUGGUUCAGUGACGUUAGCCUUGUUGCUGAUCCUCUUUCUGGCAGUGGUGGCUUCUGUUCUCGCCUCCAACAAAAGGGCAACCCAGGGCUCCUACAGCCCGAGCCGUCAGGAAAAGGACGGCUCUCGUGUGGAGAUGUGGAGCGUGAUGGAUGCCCCUGCAGCAGAGAGGCUGAUCUAG
rnacentral:lncRNA from 1 species